rnacentral:rRNA from 1 species
AUGUCUCUUUGAAUUAAAUAUAUAAAGAGUCUGGCCUGCCCAGUGAAUAAUUUUUAACGGCCGCGGUACUCUGACCGUGCGAAGGUAGCAUAAUCAUUUGUCUUAUAAUUGAAGUCUAGAAUGAAUGGCUUGACAAGAGUAAUGCUGUCUUUAACUUUUUUUUAGAAUUUUAUUAUUAAGUUAAAAAGCUUAAAUAUAAUUAAAAGACGAGAAGACCCUAUCGAGCUUCAGGAAAUUAUAAAAAUUCUUAACAUUUAUGAAAACAGAAUAUUUUACAAAACUUUGGUUGGGGCGACCCAAGAACAAAAAAAGCUUCUUAUAUUUAUACCUAUUGAUUAAUUUAGAUCCACUUAUUGUGAUAAAAAGAAUUAGUUACCGUAGGGAUAACAGCAUUAUCUUUUUUGAGAGCUCAAAUCGAAAAAAAGGUUUGUGACCUCGAUGUUGGACCAGCAUAACCUAAAGAUGUAGAAGUCUUUAAAGGUUGGUCUGUUCGACCAUUAAAAUGCUACGUGAUCUGAGUUCAGACCGG